CAGCAGCCGCGGUAAUACGGAGGGUGCAAGCGUUAAUCGGAAUUACUGGGCGUAAAGCGUGCGUAGGUGGUGGUUUAAGUCCGUUGUGAAAGCCCUGGGCUCAACCUGGGAAUUGCAGUGGAUACUGGGUCACUAGAGUGUGGUAGAGGAUAGUGGAAUUUCCGGUGUAGCAGUGAAAUGCGUAGAGAUCGGAAGGAACAUCUGUGGCGAAGGCGACUAUCUGGGCCAACACUGACACUGAGGCACGAAAGCGUGGGGAGCAAACAGGAUUAGAUACCCCCGUAGUCCCUGUCUCUUAUAC
rnacentral:rRNA from 1 species